ACUGGAGGACUAAGGCUGAGUCUGGGGAAGCAAGACUGCUGAUACAAUCCUCCUAGAAAAAAGCAUUGGAGACAGCAGCCCCCUUAUGGGAGAAUAUCACAGGUCUGACUGUACUACCCAACAUUC